rnacentral:rRNA from 1 species
GAUGAACGCUGGCGGCGUGCCUAAUACAUGCAAGUCGAGCGAACAGACGAGGAGCUUGCUCCUCUGACGUUAGCGGCGGACGGGUGAGUAACACGUGGAUAACCUACCUAAAGACUGGGAUAACUUCGGGAAACCGGAGCUAAUACCGGAUAAUAUAUUGAACCGCAUGGUUCAAUAGUGAAAGACGGUUUUGCUGUCACUUAUAGAUGGAUCCGCGCCGCAUUAGCUAGUUGGUAAGGUAACGGCUUACCAAGGCAACGAUGCGUAGCCGACCUGAGAGGGUGAUCGGCCACACUGGAACUGAGACACGGUCCAGACUCCUACGGGAGGCGGCAGUAGGGAAUCUUCCGCAAUGGGCGAAAGCCUGACGGAGCAACGCCGCGUGAGUGAUGAAGGUCUUCGGAUCGUAAAACUCUGUUAUUAGGGAAGAACAAAUGUGUAAGUAACUAUGCACGUCUUGACGGUACCUAAUCAGAAAGCCACGGCUAACUACGUG